GAUGAACGCUGGCGGCGUGCCUAAUACAUGCAAGUCGAGCGAACAGACGAGGAGCUUGCUCCUCUGACGUUAGCGGCGGACGGGUGAGUAACACGUGGAUAACCUACCUAUAAGACUGGGAUAACUUCGGGAGACCGGAGCUAAUACCGGAUAAUAUAUUGAACCGCAUGGUUCAAUAGUGAAAGACGGUUUUGCUGUCACUUAUAGAUGGAUCCGCGCCGCAUUAGCUAGUUGGUAAGGUAACGGCUUACCAAGGCAACGAUGCGUAGCCGACCUGAGAGGGUGAUCAGCCACACUGGAACUGAGACACGGUCCAGACUCCUACGGGAGGCAGCAGUAGGGAAUCUUCCGCAAUGGGCGAAAGCCUGACGGAGCAACGCCGCGUGAGUGAUGAAGGUCUUCGGAUCGUAAAACUCUGUUAUUAGGGAAGAACAAAUGUGUAAGUAACUAUGCACGUCUUGACGGUACCUAAUCAGAAAGCCACGGCUAACUACGUG
rnacentral:rRNA from 1 species